UACGGAGGGUGCGAGCGUUGUCCGGAAUCACUGGGCGUAAAGGGCGCGUAGGCGGCGCGGGUAGUCAACGGUGAAAGCUUGGGGCUCAACCCCGAGUCGGCCGUCGAUACUCCCGUGCUUGAGCACUGUAGAGGCAGGUGGAAUUCCGGGUGUAGCGGUGGAAUGCGUAGAGAUCGGCAGGAACACCCAGGGGGAAACCGAGCCGACUGGGCAUCUGCUGACGCUGAGGUGCGAGAGCGUGGGGAGCGAACCGG
rnacentral:rRNA from 1 species